GAUGAACGCUGGCGGCGUGCCUAAUACAUGCAAGUCGAGCGAACGGACGAGAAGCUUGCUUUUCUGAUGUUAGCGGCGGACGGGUGAGUAACACGUGGAUAACCUACCUAUAAGACUGGGAUAACUUCGGGAAACCGGAGCUAAUACCGGAUAAUAUUUUGAACCGCAUGGUUCAAAAGUGAAAGACGGUCUUGCUGUCACUUAUAGAUGGAUCCGCGCUGCAUUAGCUAGUUGGUAAGGUAACGGCUUACCAAGGCAACGAUGCAUAGCCGACCUGAGAGGGUGAUCGGCCACACUGGAACUGAGACACGGUCCAGACUCCUACGGGAGGCAGCAGUAGGGAAUCUUCCGCAAUGGGCGAAAGCCUGACGGAGCAACGCCGCGUGAGUGAUGAAGGUCUUCGGAUCGUAAAACUAUGUUAUUAGGGAAGAACAUAUGUGUAAGUAACUGUGCACAUCUGGACGGUACCUAAGCAGAAAGCCACGGCUAACUACGU
rnacentral:rRNA from 1 species